AGUGAACGCUGGCGGUAGGCCUAACACAUGCAAGUCGAACGGCAGCACAGUAAGAGCUUGCUCUUACGGGUGGCGAGUGGCGGACGGGUGAGGAAUACAUCGGAAUCUACUUUUUCGUGGGGGAUAACGUAGGGAAACUUACGCUAAUACCGCAUACGACCUACGGGUGAAAGCAGGGGAUCUUCGGACCUUGCGCGAUUGAAUGAGCCGAUGUCGGUUUAGCUAGUUGGCGGGGUAAAGGCCCACCAAGGCGACGAUCCGUAGCUGGUCUGAGAGGAUGAUCAGCCAAACGGGAACUGAGACACGGUCCAGACUCCUACGGGAGGCAGCAGUGGGGAAUAUUGGACAAUGGGCGCAAGCCUGAUCCAGCCAUACCGCGUGGGUGAAGAAGGCCUUCGGGUUGUAAAGCCCUUUUGUUGGGAAAGAAAAGCAGCAGGUUAAUACCCCGCUGUUCUGACGGUACCCAAAGAAUAAGCACCGGCUAACUUCGUG
rnacentral:rRNA from 1 species